GUAUCCAUCCCUGACCCGCGUGGUUUCCCUGGGAAAACGCUCCAUGCCUCCAGGGGUCGGGGAGAAAAGCCACGGCUCGAGACCGCGAGCUCGACCAAGAUCCACCGCUUCCCUUCCGACCUUCUCUGCCGGCGACUGGAGAGACGGCCCGGCCCCUCUCCUUCCGGUGCUCCACCACCACACUCCGUCUCUCCAAUGACCGCGACAUCCCUGGUCCUUACGCUGCUCCUUCCCCGGAUCUCCCCUCCGCCUCGAAUUUCCUUUCCCCUCUGGCGACGGCGACGGCGACGGUUCCACGGUCAAAUUCCACUAAUGUCGACCUAAGGCCGGAUGCAAAAUUUACUCACAGGUUAUACAUCUCAUACAUUCCUGUGUUAUGCCUUUCUUCUGAAAUUAAAAAGCAACAGUGGGAGAGAGAAAUUGCUGUACUGGUUAAGACAACUGAUUUUCAUACAAUGGCAGCAGUGCACAAACAGUGUCAGUGGUGUGUACUUAUUUCAGAGAUGAUUGGUGUCGGCUCAGCAGCUGCCAUUUAAUCAAAUCACAAUUCAUAGACUAGUAGGAAAACAUAUUGGAUAGCUAGUGUCAGAUCAAUUCAUUAGGAGCAUGUAUGGACACACAAUUAUCAGUAUCAUAAUGCAUGGUUGUAUCAUAAUUAGUAGACUAUAAUCAUGAAUUUCACUUGCAUGCAGACAAAGCGCUCCACACCUAGCAUUUUAGAAAGUUUAAAUUCAUAUACUGAUCUGUAUAUAAUUGCCUAGAAUUUGCAUCACGGUUUGUUCUUUCAACUCUUGAUUCCUGAACUACUGGAUCUUGCAUCUAUGUUUAGCUAGUAGAGUAUAAAAUCCAAAUUCUUAUGACCAGAACUAUGAACGGUUGUUUUAAUGUUGCUCUCUGUUAAUACCGGAGGAGAAUAAUAUGUCACUGAAUCUGAUGCAAUGAUAAUCUAAGCUCAAAACAGUAAUCAUUAUCGUUUCUUUCUUUAGCAUAUACAUAUGGAAUUUGUUGCCCUGACAUUAUAGUUUAAGCUCAAAAAUAUAGAUGAUGUACAUAAUUUUAUUUUCCGUUGGCAAAUAUGGAGUGAUUGUCCAAAUUAAAAAUAACAUUGUUGGAUAAUGAUUUGUGGUUUGUCUGAAUCUGAUAGGUGACGAUAUGUCAUUCUUCGUGUUGCGAGAUAGUCUUGUCUUUGCAACGGAACGAACUGCUUCUAGACUAUCUAAUCCUGUUUGGAGUGAAGUUGCUGACUUCCAAAAGAAAAUGUUCUAAUUCAGUCAACGUCGAGCUGUUGUUCUCAACUGAUGUGGAGUAGAGGAAGACGAGAUAUCCCGAACAUUGUGUUACAAUUUGCAUCUUCAGAAGUGUGGUUGUCCAUGGCAUGGAGUUUUGAUAAUUUAGAACAUUUUGUACUGGCAUGGAGUUUUGAUAAUUUAGAACAUUUUGUACUGGUGUAAAGGUCCAGGACAAGCCCGCGACUAUCGUGUUUCUAGUAGCUAAAAUCUAUUUUUCCUAUUGGCAUUGGCUUCAUUGUUCUAAAACCCAGAACCUGUUGAACAAUGAUGUUAUUUGUAAUGGCAGCAUGAGAGGAGGAAGAUUUGGUUUCUUGGUC